CGAGGAAGGAAGGAAGGAAGGAAGGGGAUCCAAGUUUCCAAAGUGCAAACCAUUUGAUGUGUUUUCUGACCAUGAAAUAAAAUACUUUCUGGUCAUUUUUAAAACAUUCAAGCCCUACGGAAAAUACUAAAAAGAGAAAUCGCCAAAAUUUUUUUCCACCCAAAUGGGGACAUUUUUGAUGAAAAGCACUCCAGUUAUGUAUUUUUUUAAAUAAAGACCUGCAGAAAUUUUCUUUUUUGCCCAAAUGAAGGCAUUCAAUGGGUGCUCUUGGUGCCGGGUGGGACAUUCUGCAGCUGCCUUUGCAUAAAGUUGUUCUUUUUCCACUAGAAAAGUAAAACGUUGCUCGUUUAUGGAAACUUUGAAGAAGGUUAACAACUGGAAAGAAGAAAAGCUUACAUGUAGUCCCCCAACCCAGAGGCACGCACCUUUGCUGGUUUUUCUUCCUUCCCCGGGAUGAAUGUGUUCUGGCCACGCCAAGUCCCGUGCCCGCCUGCCCGCUGCCAGUUCUCCCUAGACCGUGCUCUCAGGACUGGAAGCUCAGCAGGGAGUGUGGGCACUGUUGGUCUGAAGGCCAUCUGGGGGGCUCAGGAGGAUGGGAGUGUGGGCACUGUUGGUCUGAAGGCCAUCUGGGGGGCUCAGAGGGACGGGAGUGUGAGCACUGUUGGUCUAAAGGCCAUCUGGGGGGCUCAGGGGGACGGGAAAGCCUGAGCCCUGGUGGCAGGGGGAGGCUUAGGCUUUGAGGGCAGGGUGGGAAGGGUUGUUCAUUCUUGUGACACUUCACACAAGACCCCAGGAGCUGUGUGGCCUCCUUCCUGAAAGACCUGGAAAUGGGAUAAGGGUGGGGACAGUUUCAGAGGUGAAACCUACAGGAUCUGUCCCAUCCUCCCAGCCCAGGAAAUAGCUGCAGGGCCCCCUAUGGGGCCAUCCAUCUGUGUGCAGCAGGACAGGAAGGCGGCUGGCUGCUGAUGGUGUCUGGGGCGCAUGACAAACAGCCCAGUCUAGACAGAUGGAGAGCGAGGGGCUUCUGCCCCGGCACCCACUGCUGAGCCCAAAGACAACCAGGUCGAAUUCUGUACCUGGAGAAGCUACAGCCACAUGGAAGGACAAGGUUGCCCUGGGCUGGUCUGGGUCCAGGCAGCCGCAAAAGCUGGACUACAGCCCAGAUGGAGCUUCGCUCCGGUCCUGCCCGCUCUUCUCGGGCUGAGUGACCUCCAGCGUGUCACCUGACUGCUCUGAGCCCAGGUCUGUGAGAGACAUCAGGGCAAGGUCUCCUUGCCCGGAUGGCAGGGAUCCAGGUCUCCACAGAGGGCGGCCCGCCCAAACCUUCAAGGCCAAAUGAAUCACCUGGCCCACCUCUGCAGACCUCCAGUGUCUGUGUCUCCCUAGAAGAUGAGCUCCAUGAGGGCACAGAGCCAGCAGCUGACUUGCUGCUGUCUCCCUGGGACUGGCAGGUAAAGCGGCUUGAUGAGUUGUUGUCAAAUGGAUGGACAAGUGGAUGGAUGGCUAAGUGGAUGGAUGGAUGGAUGGAUGGAUGGAUGGAUGGAUGGAUGGAUGGAUAAGUGGAUGGAUGGAUGGAUGGAUGGAUGGAUGGAUGGGUGGGUGGGUGGAUGGAUGGAUGGAUGGGUGGGUGGGUGGAUGGGUGGGUGGGUGGAUGGAUGGAUGGAUGGAUGGAUGGAUGGAUGGAUGGACCAUUGAAAGAGAUGUGGUCAAAUGAAUAAAUGAUGUGGCGAAGACAGAGUGCAGCUAACUGGAAUCAGACCAGGCUGGUCCUGGAUUAUGGAAGCUUCCUCUCCACUCUUGUCCUGACCACUGACCUGAAAGCUGAGCAGAUCAUCAGAAGAGGGGCCCAGGUUUUCUCACAGCAGAGUCCAGUGCUCCAGGCCCUCUCCCUCCCCUUUGGGUUCACAAACAUCACUAAGUUAGCUCCAUGCUGGGCACUGGGCCUAGGGCUCAAGAUGUGGACCCACCAUGCUAUGACCCCUGUCCCCAGAGAGCUUGACGUCUGGAGAAGACACAGACAUAAACACAAUUCAAAGACAGUGUGCUGAGGGUGCACGUGGUGUACAGAAACGCUGGGGAGCCGCCAUUUGUCCCAGCUUGCCCUCAGCGCUCCCAGUUCAUGGCUGUGGCCCAGUGGCCUUAGUGUCCCCUUUAUUGGCGAGGGCCCAGUUGGACCUCAAAUCAUCCCGUGGUCCUAAUGUUAGAGGAGCAGGAGGGUCACAUGUCCCCACUCGGAACGCAGGGGAGGCUUCCUGGAAGUGUGUUGUCUGCGACUUCCAAGGGCAGUGUGGGUGCAGAAGAAAGAGUGACCGUCUCUAGCACAGUCAGGUCAAUCUAAGAACCUUGAAGGGAAGGCAGACCCUCCCAGGGAAACGGAGCCAAGGCAGGGUAAGGUACGGAGGCGCAACCCGGGCACCAUGAAGAAGAAGGAACCCCGAUGCUAGAGCCCGGUAAGGAAGCUGAGGUGGCCAAAGACACCGAGGGGAGAUGAGAAAGGGCUGUGACGAGGGGCGUGGCUUUAAAGGGCUGUGACGAGGGGCGUGGCUUUUCCUCGGUUGCUCUGUGGGGGAUUGCAAAUGGAUUGUAAGCAGGAGAGGGAUAAUAUCAGACGUAUAUGAAAGAAAUAAAACUAACAACUGAGAGGGGGUCAGCGGGGGUGGGGGUCCAGGCUGAGCAGGGGACACACAGGAAGCUGCUGCAGCAGCAGCAAUGCAGGGAAGAGGGAAGAGCUGGUGCAGCCUCCAAAGAGGACAAUGGCAGGAAGGCUGCAGGAGAGGAUCUGAGGUCUGGGGGGAGACGUAGCGUAGAAUUUGCAGUGGAACAAGGUCCGAUCAGGAAAGGAAGAAGUCAGGAGCCUUCACAGAGGGGAAGGGUAGGAAAAUAAAACACAGGCACCUGCCAAGAAGAACAGAAAGAUCAGGAUCCUGAGAGGGGGCUGUGGAUCCUGAGAUGGGGCUGUGGACCCUGGGAGGGGGCUGUUGAUCCUGAGAGGGGGCUGUCGAUCCUGAGAGGGGGCUGUGGAUCCUGGGAGGGGGCUGUUGAUCCUGAGAGGGGGCUGUUGGCAGCUGACCCUGGGAUGGGAAUAGGGAUGUAUCAAGCAUGGAAAAAAGACACCCAGGGGCCAAUGGGUAAACUCCCAGGUUUGCAUUUCCUGUGUUCAUCUCAGAUUAAAUGUAGGUGGUGAGAGAUGAUGAUCAAAGUUCAUUUUGUCUGUUUCUUUCCCAUGCAUAUCCAGUUGUUCUGGUAAAACCCCUUUUCCCAUUGGAUUGCAUUGGCAUCUGUAUUGUAAAUCAACUGAUUGUAUAGGGUGGGUCGACUUCUGGACUCUAUUCUGUUGACUGCUCUAUUUCACUGUCCUUCUAUCAACACCGCACUGUCUUCAUUACUGCAGUUUUACAUUAAGUUAUGAAAUCAAGUGGUGUUACUCCUACACUUUUAUAUUUCUUCUUCAAGAUUUACAUUUCUAUAUAAAUUUCAGAAUCAGCUUGACAGUUUGUGCAAAUGUCUACUGAUUUUGACUGGGAUAGCAUUGACUCUAUUCAGUUACUCUGGAUCAACUUAUGGAGAACGGACGUCUUGGCAACAUUGAGUUUACCAAUUUAUGAACAUGGUUUUUCUCUGUUUAUUGUGGUCUUCUUUCAUUUCUGUCUCUGUAGUUUUCACUGUAGGUGUGUUAUACAUUUCAGGUAAAAUGUAUUGCUAGUUAUUUAAGGUUUCUCAAUGCUAUGUAAAAAUAAUCUUUUAUUUGCUUUUUCCAAUAUUCAUUGAUAGUUUGUAUAUUGUUUGUAUAUUGAUAGUUUGUAUUAUUUUUGUAUAUUGACUUUGAUUUUUUUAUAUUUAUCUAACAGCUAUCCUGUGAACUUGCUGAAUUCACUUAUUCUAAUAGUCUUUUUGAAAACUGCUUAGGAGUUUCUACGUAUACAAUCAAAUCAUUUGCAUGACAUUAUUAUUGUAAAUAAUGAAUAAUGAAUAAUUAUUGUGAAUAAUAAUUAAAAUGAUGCAUGAUUAAUAGUGAUAAAUAUAAGAAUUAGGAAAAUUUUAAUAAUUAUAAUUAACACAUGAUUAAUAGUUAUUAUAAAUAAUAAUAAUUAGAAAUAAUUUUACUAAUUCCUUUCUGGUCUUUGCACUUUUUGUUCUUUGUUUUAUAUCACUCAUUAAGACCUCCCAUACAAUGUUAAUAGAAAUAGUAAAAGUGGACAUCCUCACCUCAUUCCCAACCUUUCAGGAAAGUGCUCAAUGUUUUGCCAUUAAACAUGUUAGCUGCAGGCUUUUUGUAUGUGCGCCUCAUCAUAGUGAUAUGAUUCCCAUCUAUUCCCAAUUUUCUGACUUCCUUUAAUCACACAUAGGUAUUGAAUUCCAUCAACUUUUUGUUCCUUCAUUUAUUAAUGCGACCAUGCAGUUUGUCUUUGUUAGUCUGUUAAUGGGAGGAAUUGCACUGAUUUAUUUUCAAAUGUUAACUUUGUAUUCCUUGGAUAGUCCCUGUCACGCAUGUCCAUGUGAAGAGACCACCAAACAGGCUUUGUGUGAG
rnacentral:lncRNA from 10 species